AACGAACGCUGGCGGCAGGCUUAACACAUGCAAGUCGAACGAGAUCUUCGGAUCUAGUGGCAGACGGGUGAGGAACACGUGGGAACAUCCCUUUCAGUUCGGAAUAACGUUGGGAAACUAACGCUAAUACCGGAUACGUCCUUCGGGAGAAAGAUUUAUCGCUGAAAGAUUGGCCCGCGUCUGAUUAGCUAGUUGGUGAGGUAAUGGCUCACCAAGGCUACGAUCAGUAGCUGAUCUGAGAGGAUGAUCAGCCACAUUGGGACUGAGACACGGCCCAAACUCCUACGGGAGGCAGCAGUGGGGAAUAUUGGACAAUGGACGAAAGUCUGAUGCAGCAACGCCGCGUGGAGGAUGACACAUUUCGGUGCAUAAACUCCUUUUAUAUGAGAAGAUAAUGACGGUACCUACAGAAGAAGCCCCGGCUAACUUCGUGCCAGCCGCCGCCGUAA
rnacentral:rRNA from 1 species